rnacentral:rRNA from 1 species
UACGUAGGGCGCAAGCGUUUGUCCGGAAUUAUUGGGCGUAAAGAGCUCGUAGGCGGCUUGUCACGUCGGAUGUGAAAAGCCCGAGGCUUAACCUCGGGUCUGCAUUCGAUACGGGCUAGCUAGAGUGUGGUAGGGGGAGAUCGAAUUCCUGGUGUAGCGGUGAAAUGCGCAGAUAUCAGGAGGAACACCGGUGGCGAAGGCGGAUCUCUGGGCCAUUACUGACGCUGAGGAGCGAAAGCGUGGGGAGCGAACAGG